AACGAACGCUGGCGGCAUGCCUAACACAUGCAAGUCGAACGAGACCUUCGGGUCUAGUGGCGCACGGGUGCGUAACGCGUGGGAAUCUGCCCUUGGGUUCGGAAUAACAGCGAGAAAUUGCUGCUAAUACCGGAUGAAGUCUUCGGACCAAAGAUUUAUCGCCCAGGGAUGAGCCCGCGUAGGAUUAGGUAGUUGGUGGGGUAAUGGCUCACCAAGCCGACGAUCCUUAGCUGGUCUGAGAGGAUGAUCAGCCACACUGGGACUGAGACACGGCCCAGACUCCUACGGGAGGCAGCAGUGGGGAAUAUUGGACAAUGGGCGAAAGCCUGAUCCAGCAAUGCCGCGUGAGUGAUGAAGGCCUUAGGGUUGUAAAGCUCUUUUACCAGGGAUGAUAAUGACAGUACCUGGAGAAUAAGCUCCGGCUAACUCCGUGCCAGCCGCCGCUGUAA
rnacentral:rRNA from 1 species